GGAGGGGGAGAUUGAGUUUCCAAGCAGUUGUAGGGAAGGGGGCAAAGAGGGAGGAGGAAACUCGGAGGAGGAAACUCAGAAGAGAGAUUCUGCUAUAAAAGAAACUCCCCUUCCCCUUGGGCCUGGAAUCCUGAACCUCUGUACCUUCUCCUGUCUCUACCUAUAAGGAGGUCCAGGCCCUCUGGGUAAAAAACAAAAAUCUACAUGGGUUUCUCUACAGCUCUAGAGGAUGUGGCCUCCCACUAUCUCUCCAUUUUUGUGAUUGGAUUCUACAUCUUGGGAAGUCUGCAGGAAGGUAGGGAGCUGGUCAUCCUCAUGACCCAAGUUCUCUCUGUGGAGCUUCUGACCCCCAUGCACCUAGUUCUGAUGAAGACCUUGCAUGUGCUGUGGGUCUGCUCCAUGCGAUUCUUUUCUACUCUGUUCCACUGGAGCCAAAGAUGCAACCUGUCCCUGUGGAAAGAACUGAAGCAGAAACAAGCAAAGGUCCUUUUCAACUGGACCCAGAAGGCAUACAUUGGGUUAAUCACCUUCUACCAGGAGAAAAGCAAUGCCUGUAAGACCAUUCUGGAUGAAACCACAAAGCAGCUUUUCUUCAUCGCACUUCUUGAAUACCUGGACAAGUUCUGGAUACUAGUCUAUCAAUGGACCCAGAUCAUCGUAACUUUUUCCAUCCUAAAGCAGGUCAAGACAUGGUGGGGCUUCCAUUCCAUUGACGAAGAACCUUGUAUUCCUUUCUUUUCAGGAUGCCAGCUGUCUGACCCAAUGAGCAUUGAAGCUGACUUUGCCUACUGUAAAAAGCCUUCCCCCCGAUUCCAUCUACGUCAGAUUCCUGGCAGGGCCCAUAAAGUCAAGAGAGAAAACCAGGAGCUGUAAAGUGUUCCUCAAGACCACAGAUCCAUGCAAUACAAAGAGAAAAAGCUCCAUCUUAUGACCUUCAAAUAGAGCUGAUAUCGAUGCACCUAGAGCUCUGAGUAUCACUGCACUUCUAAUGCACCAACAUCCACUUGAUCUGUUAAAAAGAAAAUAAAAUGACCCAGUGUGAAACCUC
rnacentral:lncRNA from 1 species